CAGGGAAUUUUGCGCAAUGGGCGAAAGCCUGACGCAGCAACGCCGCGUGGGGGAUGAAGGCUCUUGGGUCGUAAACCCCUUUUGCCGGGGAAGAUAAUGACGGUACCCGGCGAAUAAGCCACGGCUAACUACGUGCCAGCAGCCGCGGUAAUACGUAGGUGGCAAGCGUUGUCCGGAUUUAUUGGGCGUAAAGGGCGCGCAGGCGGUUCGUUUAGUCCGAGGUGAAAUCUCCCGGCUCAACUGGGAGGGGUCUUUGGAUACUGGCGGACUUGAGGUGAGCAGAGGUGAGCGGAAUUCUGGGUGUAGUGGUGAAAUGCGUAGAUAUCCAGAGGAACACCAGUGGCGAAGGCGGCUCACUGGGCUCUACCUGACGCUGAGGCGCGAAAGCGUGGGGAGCGAACCG
rnacentral:rRNA from 1 species